GGCCAGUCGCGGUGGCUCACACCUGUAAUCCCAGCACUUUGGGAGGCCGAGGAAGGGGGAUCACGAGGUCAGGAGUUCAAGACCAGCCUGGCAAAGAUGGUGAAACCCCAUCUCUACUAAAAAUACAAAAAAAAAUAGCCAGGCAUGGUGACAAGCGCCUGUAAUCCCAGCUACUUGGGAGGCUGAGGCAGGAGAAUCACUUGAACCCUGGAGGUA
rnacentral:lncRNA from 1 species